rnacentral:rRNA from 1 species
AACGAACGCUGGCGGCAGGCCUAACACAUGCAAGUCGAACGAGAAGCCACCUUCGGGUGGUGGACAGUGGCAGACGGGUGAGUAACGCGUGGGAACGUGCCUUUCGGUUCGGAAUAACCCAGGGAAACUUGGGCUAAUACCGGAUACGCCCUCCGGGGGAAAGAUUCAUCGCCGAAAGAUCGGCCCGCGUCGGAUUAGCCAGUUGGUGGGGUAAUGGCUCACCAAGGCGACGAUCCGUAGCUGGUCUGAGAGGAUGACCAGCCACACUGGGACUGAGACACGGCCCAGACUCCUACGGGAGGCAGCAGUGGGGAAUAUUGGACAAUGGGCGAAAGCCUGAUCCAGCCAUGCCGCGUGGGUGAAGAAGGCCUUAGGGUUGUAAACCCCUUUCAGCGGGGAAGAUAAUGACGGUACCCGCAGAAGAGGUCCCGGCUAACUACGUGCCAGCCGCCGCCGUAAUAC